rnacentral:rRNA from 1 species
UCGAGCGAGCCCUUCGGGGUGAGCGGCGGACGGGUGAGUAACGCGUGGGUAACCUGCCCUGUACACACGGAUAACAUACCGAAAGGUAUGCUAAUACGGGAUAAUAUAUGAGAGUCGCAUGGCUUUUGUAUCAAAGCUCCGGCGGUACAGGAUGGACCCGCGUCUGAUUAGCUAGUUGGUAAGGUAACUGCUUACCAAGGCAACGAUCAGUAGCCGACCUGAGAGGGUGAUCGGCCACAUUGGAACUGAGACACGGUCCAAACUCCUACGGGAGGCAGCAGUGGGGAAUAUUGCACAAUGGGCGAAAGCCUGAUGCAGCAACGCCGCGUGAGCGAUGAAGGCCUUCGGGUCGUAAAGCUCUGUCCUCAAGGAAGAUAAUGACGGUACUUGAGGAGGAAGCCCCGGCUAACUACGUGCCAGCAGCCGCGGUAAUACGUAGGGGGCUAGCGUUAUCCGGAAUUACUGGGCGUAAAGGGUGCGUAGGCGGUCUUUCAAGCCAGAAGUGAAAGGCUACGGCUCAACCGUAGUAAGCUUUUGGAACUGUAGGACUUGAGUGCAGGAGAGGAGAGUGGAAUUCCUAGUGUAGCGGUGAAAUGCGUAGAUAUUAGGAGGAACACCAGUAGCGAAGGCGGCUCUCUGGACUGUAACUGACGCUGAGGCACGAAAGCGUGGGGAGCAAACAGGAUUAGAUACCCUGGUAGUCCACGCCGUANACGAUGAAUACUAGGUGUGGGGGUNUCAACACCUCCGUGCCGCCGCUAACGCAUUAAGUAUUCCGCCUGGGGAGUACG